rnacentral:tRNA from 1 species
UGCCUGACGAUGAUGACAGAUGGCGUGAAGAACAAGGAGAAAGAAUCGGAAGUGAAAGUCUAUGACUUGGC